GACACUUGGGCACAGAACAUCUUUCUUCCAGGAGAAGAGAAAGGAGGAAGAAGAGAGAAAAAGAAAGGUCAGGAAAGAAAAGGCAGGACUAGAGGGUGGAUGGUGCCAUGGCAGUAACACAAGGCUCUGUGAGGCUGACCCACAUGGGAAGGUUUCAGGCUCACAGCUGGAGAUCUCUUCGAGUAUGCCAGAACCAAUACCAGCCUCCUCACCCUGACAUCCAAGGCCAUGGUAGCCUGGCCCUGUUGCCAUCCCAGCCUCAGUGCCUCCCCACUUUGCAUUCAUUUCCUCUUUUCAAUUGUCCUAUUUGAAUGCUUCCAACUCAUCACUCAAAACCACCUCCUCCAAGAAGACUUCCCUGCUUUCCCUAGUCCUGGGCAGAGCACUCUGGGCCUGUGCACAGAAGGCCUUGCAUACAUGCUUGCAGGGUCAAGAAAGCUACUGUGGAAGUACAAACCAGGGAACAGCCUCUCUUCACCCCCGCCUCUUCCCCUAGAGAGAUGGAAAUCCAAAGUUACAUAUAAAGUAA